rnacentral:rRNA from 1 species
CCGCUCAGGACGAACGCUGGCGGCAUGCCUAAUACAUGCAAGUCGAGCGGACUUUAGGGGAAGCCUUCUUCUCUGAUAGUUAGCGGCGGACGGGUGAGUAACACGUAGGCAACCUGCCCUCAAGUUUGGGACAACUACCGGAAACGGUAGCUAAUACCGAAUAAUUGUUUUCUUCGCCUGAAGGAAACUGGAAAGACGGAGCAAUCUGUCACUUGGGGAUGGGCCUGCGGCGCAUUAGCUAGUUGGUGAGGUAACGGCUCACCAAGGCGACGAUGCGUAGCCGACCUGAGAGGGUGAUCGGCCACACUGGGACUGAGACACGNCCCAGACUCCUACGGGAGGCAGCAGUAGGGAAUCUUCCGCAAUGGGCGAAAGCCUGACGGAGCAAUGCCGCGUGAGUGAUGAAGGUUUUCGGAUCGUAAAGCUGCUGUUGCCAGGGAAGAACGCUUGGGAGAGUAACUGCUCUCAAGGUGACGGUNCCUAGAA